AUUGAACGCUGGCGGCAUGCCUAACACAUGCAAGUCGAACGGCAGCACGGGCUAGCUUGCUAGACGGGUGACGAGUGGCGAACGGGUGAGUAACGCGUAGGAAUAUACCUUGAAGUGGGGGACAACCUGGGGAAACUCAGGCUAAUACCGCGUAAUCUCUUCGGAGGGAAGCUGGGGACCGCAAGGCCUGGCGCGUUAAGAUUAGCCUGCGUCCGUUUAGCUAGUUGGUGGGGUAAGGGCCUACGAAGGCGACGAUCGGUAGCUGGUCUGAGAGGAUGAUCAGCCACACUGGGACUGAGAAACGGCACAGACUCCUACGGGAGGCAGCAGUGGGGAGUAUUGGACAAUGGGGGCAACCCUGAUCCAGCAAUGCCGCGUGUGUGAAGAAGGCCUGAGGGUUGUAAAGCACUUUCGGCGGGGAGGAGGGCAGAUUGGUUAAGAGCUGAUUUGUUGGACGUUACCCGCAUAAGAAGCACCGGCUAACUCCGUGCCAGCAGCCGCGGUAAAAC
rnacentral:rRNA from 1 species